AUUGAACGCUGGCGGCAGGCCUAACACAUGCAAGUCGAACGAGCGGCGGACGGGUGGGUAAUGUAUGGGGAUCUGCCUAAUGGCGGGGGAUAACUGUUGGAAACGGUAGCUAAUACCGCAUACCAUCAGAUGAACCCAUAUGGGAUUAGCUUGUAGGUGAGGUAACGGCUAACCAAGGCGACGAUCCCUAGCUGGUCUGAGAGGCUGAUCAGCCACACUGGAACUGAUACACGGCCCAGACUCCUACGGGAGGCAGCAGUGGGGAAUAUUGCACAAUGGGCGAAAGACUGAUGGAGCCAUGCCGCGUGUAUGAAGAAGGCCUUCGGGUUGUAAAGUACUUUCAGCGAGGAGGCGUUACUCGCAGAAGAAGCACCGGCUAACUCCGUGCCAGCAGCCGCGGUAAUUC
rnacentral:rRNA from 1 species